GAUGAACGCUAGCGGCAGGCCUAACACAUGCAAGUCGAGGGGUAACAGGGAUUGCUUGCAAUCCGCUGACGACCGGCGCACGGGUGCGUAACGCGUAUACAAUCUACCUUGUACUGGGGUAUAGCCUUUAGAAAUGAAGAUUAACACCCCAUAGUCUAUUUGAAUGGCAUCAUUUAAAUAGUAAAGGUUACGGUACAAGAUGAGUAUGCGUCCUAUUAGUUAGUUGGUGUGGUAACGGCACACCAAGACAACGAUAGGUAGGGGCCCUGAGAGGGGGAUCCCCCACACUGGUACUGAGACACGGACCAGACUCCUACGGGAGGCAGCAGUGAGGAAUAUUGGACAAUGGGCGAGAGCCUGAUCCAGCCAUGCCGCGUGCAGGAAGACGGCCCUAUGGGUUGUAAACUGCUUUUAUACAGGAAGAAACACUCCCUCGCGAAGGGAGCUUGACGGUACUGUAAGAAUAAGGACCGGCUAACUCCGUGCCAGCAGCCGCGGUAAGACGGAAGGUGCAAGCGUUACUCGGAAUUACUGGGCGUAAAGGGUCCGCAGCUGUUUUUGUAAGUCUGGCGUAAAAGCACGGAGCUCAACUCCGUGUACGUGCCGGAAACUACAAAAAUUGAGUCAUACAGAGGCAUCUGGAAUACCAUAUGUAGGGGUAAAAUCCGUUGAUCUAUGGUAGAACGCCAAAAGCGAAGGCAGGAUGCUGGGUAUGUACUGACGGUCAGGGACGAAAGCGUGGGUAGCGAACGGGAUUAGAUACCCCGGUAGUCCACGCCCUAAACGAUGCGUGCUCGGUGUUGGAAAUUUCAAUUGUUUUCAGUGCCUUAGCUAACGCGGUAAGCACGCCGCCUGGGAACUACGGUCGCAAGACUAAAACUCAAAGGAAUAGACGGGGACCCACACAAGCGGUGGAGCAUGGGGUUUAAUUCGAUGAUAAGCGAAGCACCUCACCUAGGUUUGACAUCCCGAGAAUUUUCUAGAAAUAGAAAAGUGCCGUAAGGAACUCGGUGACAGGUGGUGCACGGUCGUCGUCAGCUCGUGCCUUGAGGUGUACUGUUAAGUCAGCAAACGAGCGCAACCCUCAUCCUAUGUUGUUUUUUCAUGGGAGACUGCCGCCUCCAAGGCGGAGGAAGGUGAGGAUGACGUCAGAUCUGCGUGUCCCUUAUACCUAGGGCGACACCCGUACUACAAUGGCCGGUACAAAGGGUAGCCAACCCGCGAGGGGGAGCCAAUCCCAUCAAACCCGGUCUCAGUUCGGAUUGAAGUCUGCAACUCGACUUCAUGAAGCUGGAAUCGCUAGUAACCGUGAAUCAGCCACGUCACGGUGAAUAUGUUCCUGGGUCUUGUACUCACCGCCCGUCAAGUCAUGAAAGGCAGGAGCACCCGAAGCACCCUUACUCUUCGGAGGGGGUACCACGGUGAAACUGCUGAUUGGGACU
rnacentral:rRNA from 1 species